rnacentral:tRNA from 11 species
CAUAGCUCAGUUGGUAGUAGCGCAUGACUGUUAAUCAUGAUGUCGUAGGUUCGAGUCCUACUGGCGGA